rnacentral:rRNA from 1 species
UACAGAGGUGGCAAGCGUUGUUCGGAAUUACUGGGCGUAAAGGGCGCGUAGGCGCCUUCUAAGUCAGACGUGAAAUCCCCCCGGCUUAACCUGGGAACUGCGUCUGAUACUGGGAGGCUUGAGUAUGGGGAGAGGGAUGUAGAAUUCCAGGUGUAGCGGUGAAAUGCGUAGAUAUCUGGAGGAAUACCGGUGGCGAAGGCGGGCUACCUGGACCAGCCACUGACACUGAGGCACGAAAGCGUGGGGA